rnacentral:rRNA from 1 species
UACAGAGGUCUCAAGCGUUGUUCGGAAUGACUGGGCGUAAAGGGCGCGUAGGCGGCUCGUGAAGUCGGGUGUGAAAGCCCGGGGCUCAACCCCGGAACGGCAUCCGAUACUGGCGGGCUUGAGACCGGGAGAGGAGGGUGGAAUACCCAGUGUAGAGGUGAAAUUCGUAGAUAUUGGGUGGAACACCGGUGGCGAAAGCGGCUCUCUGGCCCGGAUCUGACGCUGAGGCGCGAAAGCGUGGGGAGCAAACAGG